UACGUAGGGUGCAAGCGUUAAUCGGAAUUACUGGGCGUAAAGCGUGCGCAGGCGGUGAUGUAAGACAGGUGUGAAAUCCCCGGGCUUAACCUGGGAACUGCAUUUGUGACUGCAUCGCUGGAGUGCGGCAGAGGGGGAUGGAAUUCCUGGUGUAGCAGUGAAAUGCGUAGAUAUCAGGAGGAAUACCGAUGGCGAAGGCAGGUCUCUGGGCUGACACUGACGCUCAUGCACGAAAGCGUGGGGAGCAAACAGG
rnacentral:rRNA from 1 species